AUAGGAUUUAUUUAUUAAUAUUUUUAGUAUUUAAUUUAGUAUAUUAAAAAUAAUUAUAGAUUAGAUUAGUUUUAGUAUUUUUUAAAGAAAAAAUAAUUUUUAUUAUAGUUUAAUAGUAUCGUGAGAGAAAAUUGAAAUAUGUUGAAAAAUAAUUAUUUUUAAAGAAAAUUUAAUUUAUUGUACCUUGGGUAUCAGGGUUUAUUAAUUAAAGAUUAUAAAUUAAUAAUUUUCUCGAUUUUAAAAGAGUUAAUAUAUUAGUAAGGUUAAUGUAAUAAAAUUAUUUUUAAUAGUAUAUUGGAAAUGAAAUGUUAUUCGUUUUUAAAGGUAUCUAGUUCUUUAAGAAAUAAAUUUAAUUUAGAAAUUUUAUAUUAUCUAUUUUAGUAUAUUAAUUAGAUAAUUAUUUAAUUUUAAUAUUUUAUGGGAUAAGCUAUAAAAUAGUUUAUUAAAAAUUAUUAGAUAAGGUAAAUAAAUAUAGGCUUAGAAAUAGUUAUUAUUAAUAAAUAUGUUAUAAUUUAUAUAUUAUAUUAAUUAUUUAAUUUAUUUUAAUUUAGUAUUAAAGUGAUUACUUUAAUUUUAAAAGUAAGGAAAAUAUGGUAAAAUUAGUAUAUGAUUUUGUAAAGAUAUAAAAUUAUGAAAAGUUUUUUUAAAGAAUUCGGCAAAAAUAAGUAUUCGCCUGUUUAACAAAAACAUGUCUUUUUGUAAUUAAUUUAAAGUUUGGCCUGCCCACUGAUAUAUUUGAAUGGCCGCAGUAUAUUAACUGUGCAAAGGUAGCAUAAUCAUUAGUCUUUUAAUUGAAGGCUAGAAUGAAUGGUUGGACGAGAUAUUAACUGUUUCAUAAGAAUUUAUAAUAGAAUUUUAUUUUUUAGUAAAAAAGCUAAAAUUUUUUUAAAAGACGAGAAGACCCUAUAAAUCUUUAUAUUUAAAAUUUUAUAAUUUAUAGAAAUUUUUAUUUAUAAUUAUUAGUAGUAUUUUAUUGGGGUGAUAUUAAAAUUUAAAAAACUUUUAAUUAACUGAUCAUUAAUUUAUGAAAAUUUGAUCCGUUUUUAACGAUUAAGAAUUUAAGUUACUUUAGGGAUAACAGCGUAAUUUUUUUGGAGAGUUCAUAUCGAUAAAAAAGAUUGCGACCUCGAUGUUGGAUUAAGAUAAAAUUUUAGGUGUAGUUGUUUAAAAUUUGAGUCUGUUCGACUAUUAAAAUCUUACAUGAUCUGAGUUCAAACCGGCGUAAGCCAGGUUGGUUUCUAUCUUUAAGUUAAUAAGAUAUUUCAGUACGAAAGGACCUAGUAUCUGAUAAAUUUAUUUUUAGAGUGAAUUUAAUUAAUAUA
rnacentral:rRNA from 1 species